rnacentral:rRNA from 1 species
UACGUGGGGUGCAAACGUUGCUCGGAAUUAUUGGGCGUAAAGCGUGCGUAGGCGGUUCAGCAAGUCGGGUGUGAAAUCCCUCGGCUUAACCGAGGAACUGCGUCUGAUACUGGAUGGCUUGAGUUUGGGAGAGGGAUGCGGAAUUCCAGGUGUAGCGGUGAAAUGCGUAGAUAUCUGGAGGAACACCGGUGGCGAAGGCGGCAUCCUGGACCAACACUGACGCUGAUGAGCGAAAGCCAGGGGAGCAAACGGG